UAUUAGACUGCCUGGGCUGAGUCCUGAGGGCACCUCUUGCUUGCUUGAAUGACUUCGGGCAAGUUACUUCACCUCUCCAAGAUGUCAUCGGGGCUCAUCAAAGUACCCGCCCCAUGAGGUCUCCUUGUGAGAACAACAUGAGAAAAGCCUGUGCAAAAUGCUUGCCUGCCACGUAGAAAAAAAGCUUCCAUAAAUGUUGGUUCAUAUUGUGAGCUUUCAAAUCAACCAAGUGUGAAUAAUUUCUACUUCAUUCCAUUGGCUAUGGCAGGGGAAUACAAAGAUUUGUCAGAGCCAUUUCCAGCCUACAGGAGUUUACAGCUAUCUGACUUUACAGCUACGAGUGCCGUGAGAGAGCUACAAACCCAAUGCUGCAGGUGUUCAAAGUCAGAGAUUUAAUAACCACGGAGCCGGGAAUUAGGGAAAGCCUAAUGGUGAAUGGAUUUAAGCUGACCCCGGUGGAAUAUGAAGUACAAAGCUGACUUCCCUGCAACUCUGUCUGGUGACAUCCUUUUCUUUUUCCAAAGAGAUACUCAAGACUCAGAGAGAUUCAAAACCACCCAAGGGUCACAGGUGGUUUAUCAAAACCCCCACCCCACCCCCCAAAUACACACCAAAAAGCUAGGUUUAAUAAUCCAUGACUCAGAACCUGGAAGGCUCUCUGCAGGGCUGAGGGGCCUCGCCGGCUGUCUAUGACUGCUGCCCGCCUAGCAGGCACUGACCCAGGCCCCAGGCUCCAGGACAGUGUGCUGUCAGCCAGAGGCAGCUGUCAGCCAGACUGCUCCCCUCCUCUCAGCCUGGCAGGGGUACUCAGGGUAGUUCUCUCUGUUGGGGACCCUAAGCAUGAAACAGUAUUGGAGGAGGCUGUGCUGAGAAACCCACUGAGGGAGGAAGGCUGACGGUCUGUGUUCUUCUAGUGGUCUCUCUUCACCCUUUGUUCUCCUAGCAUAAAGCUUUCACGAUGGAGAUGCCUUCCCCAUCAUCUGCAGUUUUUCUUCGCUCAAAACAAGCUUCUGAGACAUCUUUCCGGGGAGCUUUGGUCAUUAGAGCUUGGGAGAGGGAGGCCCUUCUCUUCCGGUGUCCUCACAGGGUCUCUGUCAUUUAGAUUCUUGUUGAACAACUGGGCUUUGGAGGGGGUUGGAGGAGACAGUGAGUGAUGGUGCUGGGGCCCAGGGCCAUUCCAAGCAGAAGAAAGGCACUAGCAGGGGCAUGAGGCAGGACAGCCCAGGGCAUGUGUGGACAUCUGGGAAGAGUCUGUCUAUAUUCUGACUAGGAAGUGUACAUGUGAAGGAGUGAGAGGUUAGACUUGAAAGAUGAGGGUAGGUGUGGGCCAGACUGCAGAGGGUUGUCCUUACUGCAGUGGAUCACGGGGAACCAUGGAAGCUUCCAGAACAAGAAGUGAGCUGAGACAACAACUGUG
rnacentral:lncRNA from 1 species